AGUGAACGCUGGCGGUAGGCCUAACACAUGCAAGUCGAACGGCAGCACAGUAAGAGCUUGCUCUUAUGGGUGGCGAGUGGCGGACGGGUGAGGAAUACAUCGGAAUCUACUUUUUCGUGGGGGAUAACGUAGGGAAACUUACGCUAAUACCGCAUACGACCUACGGGUGAAAGCAGGGGAUCUUCGGACCUUGCGCGAUUGAAUGCGCCGAUGUCGGAUUAGCUAGUUGGCGGGGUAAAGGCCCACCAAGGCGACGAUCCGUAGCUGGUCUGAGAGGAUGAUCAGCCACACUGGAACUGAGACACGGUCCAGACUCCUACGGGAGGCAGCAGUGGGGAAUAUUGGACAAUGGGCGCAAGCCUGAUCCAGCCAGACCGCGUGGGUGAAGAAGGCCUUCGGGUUGUAAAGCCCUUUUGUUGGGAAAGAAAAGCAGCAGGUUAAUACCCCGCUGUUCUGACGGUACCCAAAGAAUAAGCACCGGCUAACUUCGUG
rnacentral:rRNA from 1 species